UGGGCUGCAGCCCACGAACGCUUAUGCUCUAAUAAAUAUUUAGUCUCUAAGGUGCCACAAGUACCCCUGUUCUUUUUGCGGAUACAGACUAACACGGCUCUACUCUAAAACAGACCUAGGUGGUUCUGAGUUCUGAAUGUGGGCAAAGAGCUUAAAUUUAAUUUAGAGGGGCAUGGGAGCCCAGCCAGGGAUUUGGAGCAGGGCUGUAUAUGAUCAGGCUAAAGCAAAUGCUUUUUCUUUUUCUGGCACUAUUUUGGAUCUUUCAUGGGGAAAAAUUGUGGGAGGCCAAAGAGAAAAAUGUAGCAAUCAAAGUGGGAAGUAGAAUAAUAGAACUGGACCUCAAGAGUUCAUCUAGUCCAGUCUCCAGCACUCGUGGCAGGACUAAGUAUUAUGAGACCAUUCCUGACAGGCAAGGAGGGGGGAGUACUUGUGGCACCUUAGAGACUA